rnacentral:rRNA from 1 species
CCUACGGGUCGCAGCAGUGGGGAAUAUUGCACAAUGGGGGAAACCCUGAUGCAGCGACGCCGCGUGAGUGAGGAAGUAUUUCGGUAUGUAAAGCUCUAGUAGCAGGGAAGAAAAUUACGGUACCUGACUAACACGCCCCGGCAAACUCCGUCACAGUAGCCGCGGUAAUACGAAGGGGGCAAUCGGUAUCCGGAUUUACUGGGUGGAAAGGGAGCGUAGCCGGGUAAUCAAGUCAGGAGUGAAAACCCAGGGCUCAACCUUGGGAGUGCUUUUGAAACUGCGUAGCUAGAGUGCAGGUGAGGUAAGCGGAAUUCCUGGUGUAGCGGUGAAAUGCGUAGAUAUUAGGAGGAACACCAGUGGCGAAGGCGGCUUACUGGACUGUAACUGACGUUGAGGCUCGAAAGCGUGGGGAGCAAACAGGAUUAGAUACCCGUGUAGUC